CUUGCCGACGCUACCCCAGUGGCACCCACAGCGCUGGUUCCAGCCACACAGACGUCCGCCUUCACGAUCCUGGCCGGUAUUGCCGCAAUCCUAACAGUGGGCGUGGUCGCACUCGCUGUCACUUGGUAUCUUUUGAAAGAGACACCAUCCGAAAAGGAGCCGCCGGGCCCACUGGUCACUACCAAGAA
rnacentral:lncRNA from 1 species